AUUGAACGCUGGCGGCAUGCUUUACACAUGCAAGUCGAACGGUAACAGGGUGCUUGCACCGCUGACGAGUGGCGAACGGGUGAGUAAUGCGUCGGAACGUGCCGAGUAGUGGGGGAUAACGCAUCGAAAGGUGUGCUAAUACCGCAUACGUACUGAGGUAGAAAGGGGGGGACCUUCGGGCCUCACGCUAUUCGAGCGGCCGACGUCUGAUUAGCUAGUUGGUGAGGUAAAGGCUCACCAAGGCGACGAUCAGUAGCGGGUCUGAGAGGAUGAUCCGCCAGACUGGGACUGAGACACGGCCCAGACUCCUACGGGAGGCAGCAGUGGGGAAUUUUGGACAAUGGGCGCAAGCCUGAUCCAGCCAUGCCGCGUGUCUGAAGAAGGCCUUCGGGUUGUAAAGGACUUUUGUCCGGGAGCAAAUACCCAGUGCUAAUAACGCUGGGGGCUGAGAGUACCGGAAGAAUAAGCACCGGCUAACUACGUGCCAGCCGCCGCCGUAAUAC
rnacentral:rRNA from 1 species